rnacentral:rRNA from 1 species
UACGUAGGGUGCAAGCGUUUAAUCGGAAUUACUGGGCGUAAAGCGUGCGCAGGCGGUGAUGUAAGACAGAUGUGAAAUCCCCGGGCUCAACCUGGGAACUGCAUUUGUGACUGCAUCGCUGGAGUACGGCAGAGGGGGAUGGAAUUCCGCGUGUAGCAGUGAAAUGCGUAGAUAUGCGGAGGAACACCGAUGGCGAAGGCAAUCCCCUGGGCCUGUACUGACGCUCAUGCACGAAAGCGUGGGGAGCAAACAGG